rnacentral:rRNA from 1 species
CGUAGGGGUAACCUGCGGAGGGAUCAUUACCGAGUUUACAACUCCCAAACCCAAUGUGAACGUUACCAAACUGUUGCCUCGGCGGGAUCUCUGCCCCGGGUGCGUCGCAGCCCCGGACCAAGGCGCCCGCCGGAGGACCAACCAAAACUCUUAUUGUAUACCCCCUCGCGGGUUUUUUUAUAAUCUGAGCCUUCUCGGCGCCUCUCGUAGGCGUUUCGAAAAUGAAUCAAAACUUUCAACAACGGAUCUCUUGGUUCUGGCAUCGAUGAAGAACGCAGCGAAAUGCGAUAAGUAAUGUGAAUUGCAGAAUUCAGUGAAUCAUCGAAUCUUUGAACGCACAUUGCGCCCGCCAGUAUUCUGGCGGGCAUGCCUGUCCGAGCGUCAUUUCAACCCUCGAACCCCUCCGGGGGGUCGGCGUUGGGGAUCGGCCCUCCCUUAGCGGGGUGGCCGUCUCCGAAAUACAGUGGCGGUCUCGCCGCAGCCUCUCCUGCGCAGUAGUUUGCACACUCGCAUCGGGAGCGCGGCGCGUCCACAGCCGUUAAACACCCAACUUCUGAAAUGUGACCUCGGAUCAGGUAGAAAUGCCCCA